UGUGAAUAUGAUGACGAGACUUCCACCAGUAACCUUGGGAAUGGAACCACUUCUGGCUGAACAACAAGACAGAAGGAGUCUGGCACCCUGACACCAUGGAGUGCUAUACAACUUUGGACAGACAACCUUUAGACAUCUUGAAUUAGUUUCCUUUGAUAUGAGACUUGGGAGAGCUGACACCCCUUUCACUGUCAAGCUAAGGAUGAAGCCAACACACAAAGGCAGAGCCAAGAGACUUGCAGAGAAAUGGAGCUUGGGCUGCUGGUUUAUGUCAGCGCUGAAGCCUGUCUUAACUCUGGGAUUCGUUUUCCUAACCAGGUACCUCCUUCAUUGGUUAGGUUGUACUUGGAUUUUAUGAGAGCUGCAGCCAAAAUUAUUCAACCUAAUACAAUGCUUUCUUUAAGAACAAGAUUCCUGAAGUGCAUGGCAGCCAGCCACUUCUGCUGACACCCAUCUUGGGCAGCUUUAUAGCAGAGUACCUCCUGUGAGAUACCUUGCCAUGAGCAGAUUUCCCCAGCAUCCUGGAGGGCAGACUUCUGGAAAGUUCCAGAAGGUGGAGUUCCAACAAGUUCCACUGGUGUGUGGCUACAGU